AGCAGCCGCGGUAAUUCCAGCUCCAAUAGCGUAUAUUAAAGUUGUUGCAGUUAAAAGGCUCGUAGUUGAAUUUCGGAGUUCUACCGUUGGUCAGGCUUUGUCUGUACUGACGUGUAGAAUUUCUACCUUCUGGGGAACCAUCAUGUUAUUAAUUUAGUGUGAUGGGAAACCAGGACCUUUACCUUGAAAAAAUUAGAGUGUUCAAAGCAGGCUUAUGUCUGAAUACAUUAGCAUGGAAUAAUAGAAUAGGACGGUGGUCCUGUUUUGUUGGUUUCUGAAUCACCGUAAUGAUUAAUAGGGAUAGUUGGGGGCAUUAGUAUUCAAUUGUCAGAGGUGAAAUUCUCGGAUUUAUUGAAGACUAACUACUAGCGAAAGCAUUUGCCAAGGAUGUUUUCAUUAAUCAAGAACGAAAGUUAGGGGAUCGAAGACGAUCAGAUACCGUCGUAGUCUUAACCAUAAACUAUGACCGACUAGGGAUCGGAUGAUGUUAAUUUUUUAAUGUACUCAUUCGGCGCCUACG
rnacentral:rRNA from 1 species